GGGCUGGAAGCAGUGCAUCCUAGAUGCUCUAGGACUGCAAAUUGCUCAUUAUAUCUCUGUGGGACAGACUGAAAUCACCCUAACAAAAGAACAAAACCUUGAUACAACAUAUUUGAUUCCAGAGAACUCCAAUAUAUUUUUGUACAGAUGAAUCAUAAAGCAUGACCUGCAGCCCAGAUGCAACCCAUAGAGUUUCCUUUGGAAUAAGAACGACAGAAUCUAACUCAUGAGCUUAAAGCUGCCUCAACACAAGAGAAAUUCCUUGUCCAGGAAAUCAUUCUAUCACCCCACCCUUCUAUGAAAUAUGAAACAUCAUAACCAGGAGGAAACAUAAUUCAACAUCCUGCUUGACACCAGACAACUUCAAGCCUCUGGCUUCUUUACUAUUCAUUCCAUCCAGGAAGAGCGCAAACCAACUGCAGAUGCUUCCUCAGCCUGAUGAAGGUUAUUUGUAUAUGAAAGCUUGCAAAGAAGAAUUUUUUCAACUAUUUUAGUUGGUCUAAUAAAAGAUAUCGGAUUUA